UAUGAUUAUAGGGCCAUGAUACUACAUCAACGACUAUAUGCUUCAUUUUGGCACUAUUAGCUGAGCAUAAGGACAUUCAGGAAUAUGUUAGGAACGAAUUCGAUGCUGCAAUACAAGAGCAUGAAGGGAAAAUUACUAUGAAAUUAUUGCAAGAGUUAUCAUAUUUGGAGAGAUGUAUAAAGGAAGGAAUGCGCUUGUAUCCCGUCGCAACUUCUAUAGCACGGACUGUUGAAGAAGACGUAAAAUUACAGUCAUAUGUAGUACCUGCUGGAACAA